GGGGCUUUGGCUCAGUGGUAGAGUGCUCACCUAGCAUGUGUGAAGCCCUGGGCUCAAUCCUCAGAACCA
rnacentral:tRNA from 1 species